rnacentral:rRNA from 1 species
UACGUAGGGUGCAAGCGUUGUCCGGAAUUAUUGGGCGUAAAGAGCUCGUAGGCGGUUUGUCGCGUCUGCUGUGAAAACCCGAGGCUCAACCUCGGGCCUGCAGUGGGUACGGGCAGACUAGAGUGCGGUAGGGGGAGAUUGGAAUUCCUGGUGUAGCGGUGGAAUGCGCAGAUAUCAGGAGGAACACCAAUGGCGAAGGCAGAUCUCUGGGCCGUAACUGACGCUGAGGAGCGAAAAGCAUGGGGGAGCGAACAGG